GCCGCGGGCCGAUCCCUAGGGAGCGUGGACGUCCUGGGUGCGAGCCAGGCGCGCGGCCUUCGCGCUAGGGCGCAGAGGGCCUCUCCAAACCCGGCUGUCGUCGUCGUCCGCACCCGACUCUUACACCUGCCUACGGACGCCGGUCUCCAGGUGCAGUCUCGGUUAGCGCCCGGCACAGGGGACUCAGCCUGCCCCUUCGACCCCACGAGGCGCACACGAGUGCCGCGGCCAUACCGCAGACGUGCGUGUGCAAACCGUUCACGCCUUGGGACACGUGCCUAGCUAGAGCUUCUCGCGGGUUGUCCCCGAGUCCCUGCAGGGAUUCCGAAUUGUAUUUAUGUGCACGUUACGGGGUCACGUGAUUCGGGCUCAACGGGCACCUCCAAAGACCUCCAGUGGGGCUAAUGGAACCGAGGGUUUUUCAAAAUCUAGAGGAUAAUCAGAAACGUGACAGCUGCUUUCACGGAGAGCUAGAGAUGAGCAAAAGGUAACUGCACGUGCAGGCGGCCAAAAUCCAGUUUAGCUAGCUCGACCACAGAAAACCCGACCCACGCUGCUUGCCGACGCCGGGAUAGAAUGACAAACCCUAGGCAGCCAAUGAAUCAGAGCUGGAAAGCAGUACAUCACCAGUAUGAGUUCCCAUUGGUUGGGUGUGCCUUCCCAGCUUUUCAGUCACCAGCUUAACCCUUACAACCAAAUUCGCAGGAAUAGAAGUUUAAGAGAGAUUCUGAUAUAAUACAAAGAAAAAGCAUAUAUUCCGCUGAAAUAGGCUAAUGCUUUAAAAAAAAAAAUACUAAAACUAUUAGCCAAAUUGAGUUCAGACCAGUAACAAGAUUAAUUUCAGUAAGGCCUUCCCCUUUUCUCUGGUGCUUACUGCAGUUUGCCACCCCGCUACUUCGUGUCUCUUAUAAACCACUCCAUUGUCUUGACUCUUAGAUCAAAUACAACCUGCUUUUGCCGGCUGUCAUCCCGCAAACUAUUUCUCUAUUUUGGAUGUUGUGGUAACCAUUUCUGAUAUUUUCACCACGACUUAUGGAAGAUGAUUCCCUUUUCUUCACUUUUACACCUGACAUCAAUGGCAGGACCACAUGUGAGACUGCCAAUUCCCAGCAGACACUAUCUUCACUGACCCUCCAAAUCACUCAGUAUUUUGGGAAUACGAUGAAUUUGUAGCACCUCCAGGUAUAUAAAGUAAAAAUAAAAUUCACUAUACAGUUCUUAAUUCUUUUCUAUACAAGUGCAGAAAUAAAUGAAAUUAGGUGCG
rnacentral:lncRNA from 1 species